UACGUAGGGAGCGAGCGUUGUCCGGAAUUACUGGGUGUAAAGGGAGCGUAGGCGGGGAUGCAAGUUGGGUGUCAAAACUACCGGCUCAACUGGUAGUCGCACUCAAAACUGCAGCUCUUGAGUGAAGUAGAGGCAGGCGGAAUUCCUAGUGUAGCGGUGAAAUGCGUAGAUACUAGGAGGAACACCAGUGGCGAAGGCGGCUUACUGGACGGCAACUGACGCUGAGGCUCGAAAGCGUGGGGAGCAAACAGG
rnacentral:rRNA from 1 species